AACGUUGUAUAUGAUGCCCCCCAUAGGGGGCCUCACAGCGAUCCUCGCACGUGAACCGUCGGAUGGAUCUUGCGGCGCAUCCCGGCCGUCCAUUUUUUUUCGCUGCAUCAUAUAAAAGGACACCCCCAGUGGAAACCCUAGCCGCCACAGACACGGGCCGACGCGGGGCGGAUCCGCAACGACCGGAGGCGGCGGUGGCGGCGGCGACCCGAGGCGCCGCGCGCGGCCAGAGACGGGCCGGCGCUAGGCCGAUCUGCGGCGGCGACGCCCGGAGGACGGUCGCGGGGCGCGGCCGUGCGGCCAGAGACGGGCCGGCGCUAGGCCGAUCCGCGGCGGCGACGCCCGGAGGCGACGGUCCCGUCACUCCUCCUCCUCCCCCAAUCCCAUCGCUCCUCCCUUGUCGGUCCCCACGUCGUUCUCCUCUCCGCCUCUCUGGACAACCACCGGCCGGCAGGAGCUGCGCACCGCUAGCACAUGCAAGAGGGGCUGGUGGAGCUCCGCCCUCGACGGCGAUGGCGGACCGCCGCCCACUCCGCUGCCCCUCUCCACCUAUUGUCGCUCCGCUCGCUCCUCCGGCCGCCCUUCGGUCGUCGCCGUCGCCAGAUAUUCCUACAGCCACCAGAGGGUACCACUGAUCAUCAAAGAACGAUUUGGUGCAGUGUUGAUAAGAAAACUGGACCAGUGAGGAUGCAAAUCCAUGUGAUGAGGACUGAUGAUUGCGGAACAUCGGCAUUGUGUCCAUAGGUCUCGGUGGACGGGCCUCGCUGGUUUCGUUAAGGAGAGCUGACAAGAAGAAGGUUGCGACAUGUUUUUUUAUCUGCAUUUAUGUAGCACAGGUAGGAGGACAGUGGAAUCAGCGCGAGCUGCUGUGUUUGGGGCCUCUGAUGUGCUGCCGCCGCCCGGAGUCGACUUGCUGCUGAAAGCCAAUGCCCAAAAAGGUAAGUUUGGCUAAAUCAGGUUGGGUUCAACAAUUAAUACACAUCACCUCCAGCCUGUAUUGCUCUAACUAUGUUCACCUGUGUAAGAGAAACUCUUUGAGCAGUUCCAUAUACAUAUGCGUUUUUAGAAGGAGAAGGAUCAUCUAAAAAAUGGAUGUACUAAAGUGGAUUCCGUGGUUCAGCAAAACUGAUGCCCUUGCUGGAUAUGCAUUCAUUGAUGGAUCUUACAUGAUGUCCUGGCUAGAUAGCUGAGAUUGAUUGUGCUUGAAGUGAAGAGUGAUGCCUUGAAGCUAGAUGUUAUCUGGUCUACAUCUAUUUUCCAGAUUAUCCCAAGCUAUUGCUUUUAUCCUCGAACUUGACUUAGCAUUAAUUCAGUUGGAAGAACAAAAUGGCCAGGGACAAACAAUAUAAAGGUUCUGUUGUGCUUUCUUAGCUGACUAAAAUUCUGGAAAACUAGAGUGUAUAAUCUACAGAACCUGUCUCUCUAAGAGGACCAAGCUUCCCGAACAAUAGCGGCUAUCCUUUUGAUGAUAACACAGGGAGAGAUAAGGUACGAGUACAGCGCAACCACGUUGAUGGGUUUCAGUUCCGUCUCAAGAAUGGGCUAAUGAGCAUGGAGGUUGGUCAUACGGACAGUAUUUCCUUAAUUGUGAUGCAUGAAGGAAAAAUGCCAAAGUUUCUCAGGGGACCAUGAGCUGAACUAACAUGUAUGACAAAUGCAUGUAAAACUAGGUGUCAUACCUGAUUCCACGCGACCUGGUGGUGCAAUAGAGAGAACAAAAAUAUGGCGCCAAAGCUUGGAAGGAGCAGGCGAGCACGGAGAAACGCGGCUACAUCCUAGCACCCAAGGCAGAGCUGCAUAAAUGCAGCUUCGUUCUGGGCUAGGCGUGGAUGAGAGCAAUAAUACCAGCGGCCGAUGUGACCUGGGCUUCUGAAUACUCUGGUUCGCGAUGGUGUCAAGUGCCGGGUCACAGAGGCGCUGCGCCUGUGCGGGAUGGAAGCCGCGAAAGAACGCACGAAAAUGAGUGAUGUGUACCUCGUUCAUAUCCAGCUGUGUCGCCCUCAGGACGAAUAAAAUCAUGACUACAAUUGUUUUGUGCUUGCGAUGAAUCCUCCAAAAUAGUCAUUACCUGAGAUGUAAAAAUGAAGUGAUCAAACAACUGUAAGUGGAAUGAAAUAGCAUGGCCUAUUUUAAAUGGGUUUGUCAGCUAAGGAGCUAUUUCACAUAGAA